rnacentral:misc_RNA from 1 species
GAUGAAGAACGUAGCGAAAUGCGAUAAGUAAUGUGAAUUGCAGAAUUCAGUGAAUCAUCGAAUCUUUGAACGCACCUUGCGCUCCUUGGUAUUCCAAGGAGCAUGCCUGUUUGAGUAUCAUUAAAUUAUCAACUGUGCCAAUUUGGUUACAGAUUGGAUGUGGGAGAUUCUUUUUGCAGGCCUUUGACUUCUCUUUGAGAAAAAAAAUAAAAGGUCGGCUCUCCUGAAAUGUAUUAGCAGUGCCUUUGUUGGUUCAUUAGGUGUGAUAAAUUGUCUACAUCUUCGCAUGAUACCUUCAUUUUUAAAGGUCAUAUUGCUUCUAAAUUGUCUUUGAUUGGACGCAAAACAUAUAUAAUGUUUGACAAACUUGAUCUCAAAUCAGGCAGGACUACCCGCUGAACUUAAGCAUAUCAAUAAGCGGAGGA